rnacentral:tRNA from 1 species
CUCGCGAUAGCUCAGCUGGUGGAGCAUCUACCCGGCAUGCGGAGGGUCGCCGGUUUGAUUCCGGCUCGCGGCA